rnacentral:rRNA from 1 species
AAUGGCUGCAGUAAUUUGACUGUACAAAGGUAGCAUAAUCAUUAGUUUUUUAAUUAAAAGCUUGUAUGAAAGGUUGGACGAAAUAAAAUCUGUCUCUUUUUAAUAAAAUUAGAAUUUAAUUUUUAAGUUAAAAAGCUUAAAUUUUUAUAAAAGACGAGAAGACCCUAUAGAGUUUUAUAAUUUUAAUUUUAUAAUUAAUUUAGAUUUAUUUAUUUUAUUUUAUUAAAAUUAUUUUAUUGGGGUAAUAGAAAGAUUAAAUAAAUUCUUUUUUAGAUUAAUCAUUGAUAUAUGAAAUUAUGAUCCAAAAAAUUUUGAGUAUAAGAUUAAAUUACCUUAGGGAUAACAGCGUAAUUUUUUUUUAGAGUUCUUAUCGAUAAAAAAGUUUGCGACCUCGAUGUUGGAUUAAAGAUUAGUUUAGGUGUAGAAGUUUAAAUUUUUGGUCUGUUCGACCAUUGAAUCUUUACAUGAUCUGAGUUCAAACCGGUGUAAGCCAGGUUGGUUUCUAUCUUUAUAAAAUUUUUAUAUUUUAGUACGAAAGGACCAAAUAUAAUGUAUAUUUUAAUACUUAUUUAAUGAAUAU